rnacentral:tRNA from 1 species
GUUAUUAUGGUGUAAUACACGUUGCACUUUCACUGCAAAGCUAGAAGUUUAAACCUUCUUAAAAACAA